rnacentral:misc_RNA from 1 species
AUCCCAUAAACCGUGGCUCAGUUCAGAUCGUAGGCUGCAACUCGCCUACGUGAAGUAGGAAUCGCUAGUAAUCGCAGGUCAGCAUACUGCGGUGAAUACGUUCCCGGGCCUUGUACACACCGCCCGUCACACCAUGGAAGUUGGCCAUGCCCGAAGUCGUUACUCCAACCCUUGUGGAGGAGGACGCCGAAGGUGGGGCUAAUGACUGGGGUGAAGUCGUAACAAGGUAGCCGUACCGGAAGGUGCGGCUGGAUCACCUCCUAACAGGGAGACAACAAAAUGUAAAAUAUUAAUUUUGUCACCUUAGGUCGAUCGGUAUCCCACAUUCUUAAAUUUAUUUAAGGAUUUCAUUUCCUAAGUUUUUCUAGGUCACACCCAUUAUUUUUCCUGGGCCAUUAGCUCAGGUGGUUAGAGCGCACCCCUGAUAAGGGUGAGGUCCCUGGUUCAAGUCCAGGAUGGCCCAUAUCUCUAUGUUGGGGGUAUAGCUCAGUUGGUAGAGCGCCUGCUUUGCAAGCAGGAUGUCAGCGGUUCGAGUCCGCUUACCUCCACUGAUUACCACCUCUUCCAUGAUUUACAGAAGGGAAAUUUUUUUGAGUUGUGAUCAAAUUCUGAACGAAUCUAGCUUCCUAAUAAUUUUAUUAAGAUGCUGGACUCGUUGAAUUAAUUUCAUUGUUUUCAGAGAACCUUGACAACUGCAUAGAUUAUUUUUAAAGACAAUAAGCAUCUUUAUUGAUGCAGAUUUAUUAUUUG